AUUAAAAAAUGGAAAUACAAAUGAAAGAUCCCCAAAGGGAGGGAGACCCUCACUCAAGUCUCGGGAAAUCUCUGACCCCAGACACAGAGAGACCA
rnacentral:pre_miRNA from 14 species